UGGGGAAUAUUGGGCAAUGGAGGAAACUCUGACCCAGCAGCCGCGGUAAUAAUCACUAGUGAAUUCG
rnacentral:rRNA from 1 species